AUUGAACGCUGGCGGCAGGCCUAACACAUGCAAGUCGAGCGGAUGAAGGGAGCUUGCUCCUGGAUUCAGCGGCGGACGGGCGAGUAAUGCCUAGGAAUCUGCCUGGUAGUGGGGGAUAACGUCCGGAAACGGGCGCUAAUAUCGCAUACGUCCUGAGGGAGAAAGUGGGGGAUCUUCGGACCUCACGCUAUCUGAUGAGCCUAGGUCGGAUUAGCUAGUUGGUGGGGUAAAGGCCUACCAAGGCGACGAUCCGUAACUGAUCUGAGAGGAUGAUCAGUCACACUGGAACUGAGACACGGUCCAGACUCCUACGGGAGGCAGCAGUGGGGAAUAUUGGACAAUGGGCGAAAGCCUGAUGCAGCCAUGCCGCGUGUGUGAAGAAGGUCUUCGGAUUGUAAAGCACUUUAAGUUGGGAAGAAGAGCAGUAAGUUAAUACCUUGCUGUUUUGACGUUACCAACAGAGUAAGCACCGGCUAACUUCGUG
rnacentral:rRNA from 1 species